CGAAAUGCGAUAAGUAAUGUGAAUUGCAGAAUUCAGUGAAUCAUCGAAUCUUUGAACGCACAUUGCGCCCGCCAGUAUUCUGGCGGGCAUGCCUGUCCGAGCGUCAUUUCAACCAUCAAGCCCCCGGGCUUGUGUUGGGGACCUGCGGCUGCCCGCAGGCCCUGAAAACCAGUGGCGGGCUCGCUGUCACACCGAGCGUAGUAGCAAUCACCUCGCUCAGGGCGUGCUGCGGGUUCCGGCCGUUAAACAGCCUUACAAAACCCAAGGUUGACCUCGGAUCAGGUAGGAAGACCCGCUGAACGUGAGC
rnacentral:misc_RNA from 1 species